UCGAAAUGCUAUUCGUUUAGUCGAAUGCCAACACUACAAUUGAUAAAUAUCAUGUCCUUUCGAAAAUAAAUAUCAUGUGCUUAUCUCUUUCGUCUCAAUUGUUUUCAGUAAUUCGAUAUUGACAUUUUGUGAUUAGAUCAAAAAGAUUACUGCUGGUAAUGUUUAGAGUCCAGGAAAUAAUUUCUUAGAAUUUAUGAACUCUGUUUCAUGGUGCUCUUGAAUAUGAGCCUAAGUAAGUAUAUGGGAAAUAGAUGUCUUGAACUAGCGGUCCAUACCUGUGGAACCAUAUGUUAGCCUAGUGUUUGCUUGCAUGAGGUGUGAAACAAGAUGACUCGACUUAAUACUUGAUCAUGUAAUAACCCCAUGUAUUGCCUUGUGAAUAUCCAAUUGUAUGAGUGUAUGUUUGUUCUAUGUCCACGAAGGUGCCCUUGCCUAAGUAGUUUUGAGAUCCCCUUUCUGUCAUCCAUUGAAUGGUUAUUCAUGCGUGCUUAUACUCAUGCAUUCCAUUCAUUGCAUCAUGCCUGCCAAUCAUAUAGCGACGCUUAUUGCAGAUACGUGAUCCAGAACCAAGUUUGUGGAGCUUCUUCAAGCAACGGUGGUCCAGAAGACCCACUAAGCCCCAAGCACGACCUGGAGGGCCCAUCAGUCGUGUUUGGAAGGAGGAGUUGUCCAAGGGAUCAAGGGGUUGCCUGGGGCAAAGCCUCACAACCCGGCAAAAUAACAAUAGCUUAGUUUGUUGUGUUCUGAAAGUAAAGCAAAGGUAUGGAGUUCCUCUUCUGCGCCUGUGUUAGCGGAGGGGCUUGUUAUCAUCAGGAUUAGGAAGCGUCAUGUCUGGCAACGGGGCAACAUCAGUGGGCUUGAUGUUGCUCUACUCCUGCAAGUCUUUUGGUUAUCAUGAACUCUGAACUUUACUUUCCGCUGCGAGAAACUAUUUGAACUCAAGUGUUGUAAUAACCUAUGUUGAACCCUAUUUUAUUUCGAACUGGAUUGUAACUUAAA